rnacentral:tRNA from 1 species
GGAAGCGUGGCAGAGCGGCCUAAUGCACUCGCCUUGAAAGCGAGCGGCCCGAGAGGGCCCGGGGGUUCGAAUCCCCCCGCUUCCGCCG